rnacentral:rRNA from 1 species
AGAGUGAACGCUGGCGGCGUGCUUAACACAUGCAAGUCGAACGAGUAAGUGCUGUAGCAAUACAGAUUACUGCUAGUGGCAGACGGGUGAGUAAUACAUGGGAAUCUGCCUUGGAGCAGGGGAUAACAGUUGGAAACGACUGCUAAUACCCUAUAUUGCCUAAGGGUGAAAGAUUUAUCACUCCAAGAUGAGCCCAUGCAAGAUUAGCUAGUUGGUAGGGUAAUGGCCUACCAAGGCAACGAUCUUUAGUUGGUUUAAGAGAAUGAUCAACCACACUGGGACUGAGACACGGCCCAGACUCCUACGGGAGGCAGCAGUGGGGAAUAUUGGACAAUGGGCGAAAGCCUGAUCCAGCGACGCCGCGUGGAUGAUGAAGGCCUUAGGGUUGUAAAGUCCUUUCAGUGGGGAAGAUAAUGACGGUACCACAGAAGAAGCUCCGGCUAACUUCGCGCCAGCAGCCGCGGU